AGUUAUGUUUUAUACUUCAUUUUAUUCUCAUGCCAUAGCUCUGCAUAGUAAGCCUAGUAACUCUCAGUCUCACCUCCACUAAUUGUCACACUGCAUGCUUACAACACUCCUUGCCCCAGCCCUCAGUCAGUUCUAUUGUUUCACUGAUAGGCCAAGCUGGCCAUAGCUUAAACUACAAUGUAAAGAUUUUAAACUCACAUGCUGUCCUGUACUUCGUAAGGAAGGUUACCUUUACAACCAGGGGAUCUUUAUAAGGAUUUUAGAUCUGUGUUCAUUCAGGAGAAUAUCCUCCCUAAACAGCUUGGGUACAACCAACCUGGCUUUUUAACACGAUCUUCCAGAAUAAAUGUAUCGGCCUCACAA